UACGUAGGGUGCGAGCGUUAAUCGGAAUUACUGGGCGUAAAGCGUGCGCAGGCGGUUCGUUAAGUUCGAUGUGAAAGCCCUGGGCUCAACCUGGGAAUGGCAUUGGAAACUGGCGACCUAGAGUGCGGUAGAGGGUAGUGGAAUUCCCGGUGUAGCAGUGAAAUGCGUAGAGAUCGGGAGGAACAUCUGUGGCGAAGGCGACUGCCUGGACCAGCACUGACACUGAGGCACGAAAGCGUGGGGAGCAAACAGG
rnacentral:rRNA from 1 species